CCCCUCAUAACACUGUUUAUUAAUUCCUGUAUCACAAUACAAAGUCAAAAGUUUCAAAAGAAAAAAGGCUAAGAAUGUAAGGCAUGAAAUACAGAAUGAUCUUCAUGAGCAACUCAAGUUACUUAAACAAGGUGAACGUGCCAAGAUGCCACUUCGCCUUCCUCUGGUUAUCUUCAGAAGUAUAACAGUAUUUUCUAAAACACACUGUUUCCAAGUAGAAUCUUUAAGCAUCAAAACAUUAUUUUACUCAACACUCAAGGAAGCAAGAAGUAAAAAUUAUGCUACAUGAAACUAUUUUCUUAGAGCAAAACACAUACUGAAUUCUUGAUACAACAAAAUGAAACUAAUCUGAGACUGAAGAUUCUGGUGGAUGCCUGUUGCUAUGCCAUGAGUCACUCUCUAAGACGUAAAGAACACAAUCACUCU
rnacentral:lncRNA from 1 species